rnacentral:rRNA from 1 species
GACGAACGCUGGCGGCGUGCCUAAUACAUGCAAGUUGAGCGCUGAAGGUUGGUACUUGUACCAACUGGAUGAGCAGCGAACGGGUGAGUAACGCGUGGGGAAUCUGCCUUUGAGCGGGGGACAACAUUUGGAAACGAAUGCUAAUACCGCAUAAAAACUUUAAACACAAGUUUUAAGUUUGAAAGAUGCAAUUGCAUCACUCAAAGAUGAUCCCGCGUUGUAUUAGCUAGUUGGUGAGGUAAAGGCUCACCAAGGCGAUGAUACAUAGCCGACCUGAGAGGGUGAUCGGCCACAUUGGGACUGAGACACGGCCCAAACUCCUACGGGAGGCAGCAGUAGGGAAUCUUCGGCAAUGGACGAAAGUCUGACCGAGCAACGCCGCGUGAGUGAAGAAGGUUUUCGGAUCGUAAAACUCUGUUGGUAGAGAAGAACGUUGGUGAGAGUGGAAAGCUCAUCAAGUGACGGUAACUACCCAGAAAGGGACGGCCAACUACGU